UUGUUACGGUUCUCGCGCGUGUUGUCGUGUACACGGGGUGGAUCGUUAUUAUCCCGACGGACGUUUGGAAUGUAUAGCAGACGCGGGAUAUCGAGUCGUACGAUUGGAGGCCACGUUUAAGGGGAUGGGAUGAUGAAGAGGUAGAGGUGGCGGCGGGGGAAUUUGCCCCGGGGUACCGAACCUUUUUUAAAAACUGCAGGGGCGACCGGCUCAAUAUAAAUCUCGAAAUAAAAUUUAAAAUAUCGCUAUUAUCACUAUCAAGUAUAUCGCUUGUUAUUCGAUUCACUUUCAAGAGUAAAUAACGAACAUUGUUCGGCGAUCAGAAGAACACGAGGACGACCACCUCCCCAUCUCCCGAGUGUGGUUAGACUAUAAUGGGGCCCGAACACGGACGGACGGACGGACUCGUUCGAGAGCUAUAAAGGAAGCGAAUGAUGUGCGUGAGCCGCGAACGAACGUUUACCGGGGACUCGAUCUUUGUUCAGCAAUCUAAAUGCAUGUUGACGCUUUGAGAACCGGAUUCUAGUGAUCUCCGAAUAUUCUUCUCGAGGACUCGGUAGUUUUCCUUUAAAUCGCCGUUCCUGGACGGUACCUCUUCGGCUCCCACCCUACCUCGCUGUACCGAAUUACCCCGAAUAACUUCGGCCAUACCGAGACCGACGUUUCCGGGUCACUUUGUCCGGAGAAAUUUGAGAUGGUCGUAACUGCUUGAGUCGAUCUGCAGAGAGAGAUUUCACGACUCGUAAUUUUGAUUUUCGUAUACACGGGCAAAUCAGUCCGCGAUUAGACGACUGCGCGGCGUGCAUGCGGAUACGACACAUAAAUACACAUUAUGUUUAUUUUAUUAUUAUCUUUAUAUAUUUUUUUUUUUUUUUUUUUUUUUUAUGAUUUUUAUAUUUAAAAACCGUUUUGACAAGAAUUUGGUUUAAAGAAACGUUUAUACCGGUGUUAUUUCAAAAAAUUAUUCGUACACAACCGUCGUAGGUUUCAAUUUUGAAAGGAGGUUAUUUAUAGUUGGCGCGAGUUAAGGGUUAAUAUUUUAUUUUCUGCCCCCCUCCCCCGAAAUAUUCUGUCCAUCGCGAUUCUAAAUGAAAGUGCAUAACAAUAAUAAUUAUUAUAUUAACAGUACAAUACAAGUAAACAGUAAUACUGAUCGUUGAACAUUAGAAUUAAAAUUACGAAAAUAGAACUGAGAAACAUAAUAUUAUAAUCACUGUCUCGGUAUGUUUAGGUUAGUAAGCGCUUAAUGAAAUCCGAAAAAAUUAUUUGACACGUUAUAAGAUAACAUUAUUAUUUCUAUUAUUAUGUUAUUAAGUUAAAGAAUCUCGGAUAUAUUAUAAUAGCGGGGUAGGUUAGCGGGUGUUUUAACAGCGAAAACCCGUGUCGUAUUUUCCACGUACGAGAUUUCCCGUUCGUGUUCUCUCGUCCAUACGAGUCGCAAAAUCUCUCGACGCACACGCGGAUACGACGCGGCGUUACAAUCCUCCGGAAAAUUCGACUGGUGUUUUUUUUUUUCCUGUCUUUCUUUUCGGCAUAAUCCUAUACCAUAUUUGAGCACAAUACUGUAUCAUGUAUUUAUUGUAGAAUAACAUAUAAUAUAAACAGACGUUUUGCGAACUGAGUGCACCCAACGAGAGCACGGUAAUAAUAACCAUUUUCAAACGAAACAUGUACGUUUAAACCCUGUAUUUUUUAAGUUUUAUUUCGCGGUAUUCGCACGUGUUGUACUUAUUCUCUCUCGCUCGUCCCGCUGCUCUAACGACAUUUCCGUCGCUACACCACUGUAUCUACCGAUGUAUAUUGUUUAUGAUACGAGUGUUCGUAAUAUUUCUCGCGAGAGAAGGGCUAAGGGCAUGGGUACGAGACUAUAUUAAUGUUAUCAGUAAAAAAAAAAAAAAACUGUCACGGAGAAAAGGGCAAAAAUAUCGGUAGUAAAUAAAUAAUUCGCGAGUAUUUAGGUGCGUUACUUUACGAAAUAAGCGAAUAUAACCGUUAGAGUCUUAUCGUAAUAAUAAUAAUAAAUUUGAAUGUGCUCGGGGGAAGGGGGGUGGGGGGAGAUUUAUAUAUGCACGUCAAUAUUUACAAAAUCGUUUCGUACUAUCGAU